rnacentral:rRNA from 1 species
UACGUAGGGCGCAAGCGUUGUCCGGAAUUAUUGGGCGUAAAGAGCUCGUAGGCGGUCUGUCGCGUCCGUUGUGAAAACUCGGGGCUCAACCCGAGCCUGCGUUCGAUACUGCACGGCUAGAGUCUGGUAGGGGGAUCUGGAAUUCCUGGUGUAGCGGUGGAAUGCGCAGAUAUCAGGAGGAACACCGGUGGCGAAGGCGGGAUCCUGGGCCAGUACUGACGCUGAGGAGCGAAAGCGUGGGGAGCAAACAGG